UCGCCCUUAUAGUUUGAUCCUGGCUCACAACGAACGCUGGCGGCGUGGCUAAGACAUGCAAGUCGAACGAUAAAGCGCUUUAACGAGUGCCGGUAAAGUGGCGAAAGGGUGAGUAACGCAUAGAUAACCAACCUUCGAGAGGGGGAUAAGUCACCGAAAGGUGACUUAAUACCCCGUACGACCCCGAGAUCACAUGACCUUGGGAUGAAAGGUGGGGACCCGCAAGGGCCUACCGCUCGAAGACGGGUCUAUGUCCUAUCAGCUAGUUGGUGAGGUAACGGCCCACCAAGGCUGCGACGGGUACGGGGCCUGAGAGGGUGUUCCCGCACACUGGGACUGAGACACUGCCCAGACUCCUACGGGAGGCUGCAGUCGAGAGUCUUCGGCAAUGGGCGCAAGCCUGACCGAGCGACGCCGCGUGGAGGAUGAAGGCCUUCGGGUUGUAAACUCCCGUCACGGUGGAGGAAACGUCCCAAGGGAAUACCAAGGGAAACUGACCACACCGAGAGGAAGUCACGGCUAACUCUGUGCCAGCAGCCGCGGUA
rnacentral:rRNA from 1 species